UGAGGAAUAUUGGUCAAUGGGCGAGAGCCUGAACCAGCCAAGUAGCGUGAAGGAUGAAGGUUCUAUGGAUUGUAAACUUCUUUUAUACGGGAAUAAAACCUCCCACGUGUGGGAGCUUGUAUGUACCGUAUGAAUAAGCAUCGGCUAACUCCGUGCCAGCAGCCGCGGUAAUACGGAGGAUGCGAGCGUUAUCCGGAUUUAUUGGGUUUAAAGGGAGCGCAGACGGGAGAUUAAGUCAGCUGUGAAAGUUUGCGGCUCAACCGUAAAAUUGCAGUUGAUACUGGUUUCCUUGAGUGCGGUUGAGGUGUGCGGAAUUCGUGGUGUAGCGGUGAAAUGCUUAGAUAUCACGAAGAACCCCGAUUGCGAAGGCAGCACACUAAGCCGUAACUGACGUUCAUGCUCGAAAGUGUGGGUAUCAAACAGG
rnacentral:rRNA from 1 species